CCUANGGGUGGCAGCAGUAAGGAAUAUUGGUCAAUGGACGAAAGUCUGAACCAGCUAUGCCGCGUGGAGGAUGAAGGCCCUCUGGGUUGUAAACUUCUUUUAUAUGGGACGAAAAAGGGCCUUUCUAGGUCAACUGACGGUACCAUGUGAAUAAGCACCGGCUAACUCCGUGCCAGCAGCCGCGGUAAUACGGAGGGUGCAAGCGUUAUCCGGAUUCACUGGGUUUAAAGGGUGCGUAGGUGGGUUGGUAAGUCAGUGGUGAAAUCUCCGAGCUUAACUUGGAAACUGCCAUUGAUACUAUCAGUCUUGAAUAUUGUGGAGGUUAGCGGAAUAUGUCAUGUAGCGGUGAAAUGCUUAGAUAUGACAUAGAACACCAAUUGCGAAGGCAGCUGGCUACACAUAUAUUGACACUGAGGCACGAAAGCGUGGGGAUCAAACAGGAUUAGAUACCCUUNUANUC
rnacentral:rRNA from 1 species